AGUGAUAUGGCUCAGUGGUAGAGCUCUUGCCUUACAUGAUAAGGUCCUGAGUUCAAUCCUUGGUACCACAA
rnacentral:tRNA from 1 species